rnacentral:lncRNA from 1 species
UAAAGAAGAAGAUAAAUAGAUGAUGCAUUAUUCAUCAAAGCAUCAAAUACUGUUAGUGGGUGAAAGAGAUUUCUCGUUUUCUUUUGCUUAUCGCAGAAAUUUGGCUCUGCUUCUAACAUCUGGGAUUCUUCUCUUACUUCUUAUGGUAAUUCAUUCAUUUCUCUAAUCUCUUUUUCUUCUCUUGCAUCUUUUUUUUUCUUUAGAAUUUCUUUUCAUCAUAUGAUGUGGCAAAAAUUACCCUGUUUAUAAAUCUUUAUCCUCAAUUUGAUUUGUUAAAUUGUCACUUAAUUUGUUGUGUAAUCGUAAAGAAAUGAUCAAUUUUACAGGAAAAUAGUAAAAUGACCCGGAAAACCAGGAAAAUGUAUUAUUAUUGCCUCUGUUUUUUUUAAUUAAUAAUUAGAUUUCAUAUGAUGGGAGGCCAAAAUGACCCUUUACAAAUCUUUAUCUUCAAUUGGAACUGUUUUACUUCAAAAUUGGAACUAUUAAAUAAGAGUGGGCAUUAGUACAAAAGUUAAAUAUAAUAGUCCGGUCCCUUCUUUAUAAGGUGGAUAUGAUUUCAAGAUCACAUGUAUUUAGAGGGGCGAAACUAGGAACUUUUUUCAAGCUGGUGGUUAGACUAAUUUUUAAGUUAAAGAAAAAAGAAUCUUAAAGUAAAGCUAUUGAAUUAAACCAUAACAAUUAGUUCACAUUUUUAGAUUUUAAAAAUAUUUUGUGAAUUUUGUUUAUUUAAAAAUAAAAGUUAACAAACUUCAAAACUGUGACUACAAUACUCCAUGAGUGCCAUACUUCACAACCUGGCACCGCUAGAUGUAUCUAGAUUAUUGACUUUUAUUUACUUUUUAUUUAUCUAAUGAUGCUUAGUCUACAGAGUACGGUACCCUUAGAAAUCAUAAAUAGACACUUUAAAGAAUUAAAAGAUAAAUGAGUGAUAAAUAUCUUGUUAUAAUUAGUUUACUUGAGAUCAAAAAUAGAUUUUUAAAAUAAGAUGGAGUGGGGAAGAAGUUGGGAAAAAUGACCGUGUCCAAAUUUUAAGAUAGCUUGAGUGAUAAACUUGUAAAUUAUGCUAUGAUGUUUUGUAAAAAAUAACAGUGGUAGCCCAAUUGGGAAUAAAUUAUUCUAUCUUAACCAAGGUUUUCGGUUUGAGAUUUGGGAAUGCAGCUGCGUUAAAUACUUGUUGAAAGAGCUUUACCACCCCAGUGGUUCUAUUGGGCUCGAAUCUGGAUUAGUCAGGAUUCAAUGUGGUCUUCGGAUACCAAAUGAUUUAAUACACAAAAAAAAAAACAAUAGUAGCUAGUUUUAUAAAUUCUACAUGGUAAUUUGUGAACAACAUAGAAAAAAACAAAAAAACUAAAUAAUAAUAAUAAUAAUAAUAAUAAUUUACGUAUCUUGCUUAUUUGGAAGUCAACAUAAAUUGUAUAUUUGGAUGGACUAGAAACUGUGAUUCAGAAAUUCAAGGAGGCACGGUCAAAUUUGGACACCCUAAAGAAGCUGGAAGUGUCCAUUCUCCAUGGGUUGAUGCAACUGAAAUGAAGGAACAUCCUGAAUUUAGCAAGCGGAAGUUUGAUAGAAUAAUUUGAACUUCCCCCAUGCUGGCUUUCAUGGAAAGGAAGAAGACGACAAAGCUAUUCGUGAGCUGCCAGGUAAGUCCAUUGGACAUAUGUGUCAAUAUAGUGAGUUAAAAAUGGUUAUCAUAAGAGGGAACUUCAAGUGAUUCGUAUUUCUUAAUAAUUCAACUAGUUAAGCAUAUACUAAGGAGUUGUUUAUUUCUUAAUAAUUAAUAACCUAUAAUUCGGAAGUACAAUCCACUACAAUCUAUCAAUUGGUUAAUCCCAAACAUGUACUAAGGAGUUGCUUAUUUUUAUCUAAAGCCUGAAUUUUACUUAUUUUCAGACAUUGAUAGUUUUUAAUUUUUUUUUUCUAUUGCUUAUGUCUAAUUAAAAUAUGUUUAGGUGUGAAUAGAAAAAGUUAAAUAUUUUGAUUUUUAUCUGAAUGGUAAAACAUAUGAAUAGAGCUUUAAUAUUCUCUCUUAUUAUUACCCCUUCAAAAAAAUUUAUUUUCUAUUAUACAAAUUAUUCUUUAUUUUUUUAAUUAUGCUUUUUUUGUUAUAUGCCUGUAUUCAACUUUUUUUUUUGUGAGUGAGAAUUUUAACAUAAUAAAGCGUUUAGGUGAGGGUGUUUUAUAAUGGUCAAUCUUUUUGUAUUUAUAUUUACUAUUCUUAAAAUAGAUCUUAUACUGAUUAUUCUCAUUCUCCGUAAUUUAUUGUACCGAAUGUUCUAAAACCUACCUAGCAUUAACGAGUGAAAUAGAAAUUUCGGGAAGCCAAGAAAGUUUGUGUGCACUGAAUGCCUCUACUUUGUAAGUUCAAUUGAUCUCCUCUUAGUUGAAGUAGAUGAUAGUAAAUAGUAUCUGAGUUUCAUUUCAGAUUCCAAAAACAAUCCUCCAUUUGAAUAGUUAAGUAGAGAUCCGCAUUGCUUUCUUUUUCUUUAGAGGAAUGGCUGACUCCUUUGAUCAUGAAACUAUGUCACGGCUAUCACAAAAACCCGAGUAAUUCUAUUCAUAGAACCAAAAUAGAGUUGAGUUGGUGCUCCUUCAUUUUGACUGAUUUAUUAUGAUGCAUAACAACAAAUGAUGAGAUGGUAUCUGAUAUGAUAAUGAGAAUUAGUCGUCAACGAGAAAAUUAAUUUCGCAAGAACACGGUUGGUCGCAGAACUCUCCUAGUCCUUGGAAGUAAUUUAAAGGAAAGGUGCAUCAAUUGCUUUGUGUAGCGUGCUUUAUGGUUAGAGCUUUGUGCUCUUGGUCUUCGGAGUUUACUUAUUCUUGAUUCUAUAGACCUGCAGCCAACAUACAACAGGGUUUGAUUUUCUUUAUUUUUCGCUCUCUUUGGCCCCCUUUUUUUCAUUCCUCGAUGGCUCUUUGGUUAUAAAUUAUGUCCCAAAAGACAAGUCGUCUCUGGUCUUCAGGAAGACAAGUGGAAAUUGUAAAUAGUUUUGAUGACUUUUUUGCAGUGUAGGACCCAAUAAAAAAGUUGAACACGCUUUUGUUGUUUUUCACUUUUAUGAAGGAAUGAGAAUGAUCUGUUUUCAAAAGAAUUUAAGUACGUUGCAAAACGGUGCCAUCAACAAGUUUUUUAUUUUUUAAAAAUUUUUGAAAAAUAAAAGACACCGUGAUUAUGUAGUUUCUCAUUUCUUCCUAAUUUUGGCAGUAAAUAAACAGUAAUAACAAAUAUUGAUUAAGCAAAUUAGUUUUCGGGAAUAUUUGAAGGAGAGAUUACAUAGGAAAUAAAGGUUAGUCCAAUUUUGCAAAAGAUUCUAUGCUCCGUAAAAAGAGAGCAUCUAUAAGGAUGUGGUCAAGUGUUGGCCAUCACGGGUAUUAGAGUAUGCGAAUAGCGUGUGCGGCGAGAACUCUUAGGAAGGCGCUUGGCACCACAGCAAAGCUCCCCUAAUGAAUGCUCUCCAGUCACAAGCACCAGAUUAAGCUCGUCUACAAAUAUCUGGCUGCAAAAAUAAACAAACCAACUUUCGUAAAAUAAAUAUUAAAAUAAACUAGAAAGAGCUCAAUUGCCGACAAAUUCCAGGUUGCUUAGGUCAAAAUAAACAAUGACCAAACACUGUAUGCAAAACCAUCACUCUGCUUUGUAAAUUAGACCUGCUGGUGUCAUAUGGCGGAGGCUGCGGUGAACUUUGCUCUAGAGACCUUGGGUCCUUUGCUUGUCGAAGAAAUCAGAUUGUUUGGAGGUGUUAGAAAAGAAGUUCAAAGCAUCAAAAGCGAAUUGGAAAGUCUCAGAUCUUUCCUGAAAGACGCGGAUACAAGGGCAGCAGUCGAAGAAUUAGAAGGAGGCGGUGAGGAAAGUGUCAGAACUUGGGUGAAACAACUGAGGGAUGAGGCUUAUCGCAUUGAAGAUUUCAUCGAUGAGUACGCACUCAUGGUGGCAAAACUCCCCCAUGAGAGUGGCCUCGUUGGUGUUCUCCAUAGAAUUAGUCGUUUCAUAAAGAAGCUGAGGCGGCGGCGUGGAGUUGCUACUGAGAUUCAAGAUAGCGAAUCAGCGCUUGCUGAUAUAAAGCGAAGGGGAGAAAGCUAUCGAUUCAGAUCUAUUGAUGAACCAUCGAGAAGUGGAACCAGAAAUGUUAUCCCACAUGACUCUCCAGUUCGUUCCUUUUUCGUUGAAGAUGAUGAAGUUGUGGGCAUCGAAUCCAUUAAAGAUAAAUUGAUUGAUUUGAUGGUGAACGGAAGAUCCAAAAGUUCAGUGGUUGCUGUGGUGGGUGAAGGAGGACUAGGCAAGACCACUCUUGCCGGGAAACUUUUUAACAAUGAAGGUUUAAAAACUCACUUCAGUUGCCGAGCUUGGGUUACCGUUGGGAAAGAAUACAACAAAAAUGAUUUGUUGAGGACAAUUAUAAAGGAGUUUCACCGUUUAUCAAAACAUGGAAGAGAUGGACCUGAUCGCCACGCUGAGGGACCACUUGAAGGACAAAAGUUACAUGGUUGUGCUCGACGAUGUUUGGAAGAUUGAUUUUUGGAGAGACGUGGAGCAUGCUUUACUUGAUAACAAGAAGUGCAGCAGGAUAAUUGUCACAACUCGGCACAUGAAUGUCGCUAAGUUUUGCAAAUCAUCUUCCUCUGUUCGUAUCCAUGAGCUUGAAACUUUGCCUCCGGAUGAAGCGUGGAAACUUUUUUGUAGAAAGGCGUUCGGACCAAGCUCCGGAGGUUGUUGUCCUUCAGAGUUGAAGGAGUUCUUUAUCGUGGCCCUAGGUGGACUUCUUUCAACCAAGAACAGGAUUGUAUCUGAAUGGAAGAAAUUAUUUGAUAGGUUGGGCUCAAUGUUAUGAAGUGAUCCCCAUCUAAAAGAUUGCAACAGAGUUUUAUCUGAAGGGUAUUAUGAUCUUCCUCACCACCUCAAAUCAUGUCUUCUGUACUUUGGCUUAUUUCCAGAGAGCUGCAAAAUUAACCGUGGUAGACUUAUCCGUUUGUGGAUAGCUGAGGGCUUUGUCCAAUACAGAAAACGCCUCACAUCUGAACAGGUUGCAGCCGAAUACUUGGAUGAGCUCAUUGACAGAAGCUUGGUUCAAGUUUCAAACAGAGAGAUCCCUGGACGAGCUAUAAUCUGCCAAGUUCAUGAUCUUAUGCACGAGAUCAUCAUCAGAAAAACUGAAGAAUUGGGCUUCGGUCGUCUGCUGAACGGAGAGGACUCGAGUCAUUGCAGUAAAACUCGACGCAUUACUAUACAGAGAAGUAUUGAUGAUGGUGCUUUAGAGAGCAUCAAGGACUGGAAGGUCCGUUCUGUUAUCCUUUUCAAUGUAGAUAAGCUGCCCGACUCUUUCAUGAAAUCAUGUAUUGCCAAUUUCAAGCUCAUGAAAGUACUAGAUCUGGAAGAUUCUCCUAUAAAUUACCUUCCUGAAGGAGUGGGAAACUUAUUCAAUUUACACCUCUUGAAUGCGAGAAACACAAAAUUAAAAAUAAUUCCCAAGUCCAUUGGAAAUCUUCUCAGUUUAGAGAUUUUGGUUUUGGCACGCACUUUCGUGAGUGAACUUCCAGAAGAGAUCAGGAAUCUUAAAAAGUUGCGUUCUCUAAUUGUUUUUCACUACAAGUAUAUCACAGGUUCUAUAAUACCAACAGAAGUAGCAGCCAAAAUACACCGGGGCUUUGGGUCUCUAAGAGGUCUGCUGGUGUUGUCUACUAUAGAAGCUGACUCUCAAGUGCUCAAAGAGCUUAUGAUGCUAAGGCAGUUAAGAAUGUUGAGCAUUAGACCCCAGAAUGGAAAUGGCAGGGAUCUCUGUGCUUUGAUUGCAAAUUUGGAAAACGUAGAGACUUUAGGAGUACUAAUGACAAGCAAAGAAGAAAUUCUUGACUUGCAAUCUUUGAGUAGUCCUCCUCAACAUCUGCGGUAUCUCAGCUUGAGAGGGAAUAUGAAGAAACUGCCGGAUUGGAUUUUAAAACUUAAAAAUCUAAUCGGAUUGCGUUUGAUCUUGUCGGGAUUGACUGAGGAUCCAAUCAGUAUCCUUCAAGCCUUGCCUAACUUAUUGGAACUUAUGCUCCAUGGGGGGUAUGACUACGAGCUUUUUCACUUUGAAGCAGGUUGGUUUCCAAAACUCCGAAAGUUGGUUCUUUUGAACUUCGAGGCUGUGAAAUUGGUUAUAAUAGAGAAAGGUGCGAUGCCUGAUAUUAGAGAACUGUGGAGUGGGCCUUGCCCCCUGUUGAUGGAGAUUCCUAUUGGAAUUGAGCAUCUUAGAAACCUUGAGCUAUUUACAUUUCAUGAUAUGUCUAAACAAGUUUGUUGCAUGACAAAGAACGAGAAGUGGGAGGUUACUGAGCAUAUACCAGAUGUCCGUGUCACUUAUAUUGAUGCGGGGCAACUGUUUUAUUGUCCAAAAAAAGUUCUUUCAUCUCUUUCCUGUAGAUUUCGAGCAAUCUGCUAACGAAGAGGACUCAAGUAAGGAGCAGUCAUGCACAUCUAUAAAAUAACUAAACAGGUGUGCCUAUUUGUAUUAUUUUCUAAUUACUUUAAAAAAAAUUAUUUUCUUUUUUUUCUUUUUAAUUUGACAGACAAUAUAAUCAUAUAUAAUUCAAGAAAAUUCACCCAAAAAAAACUCCUUUUUCCAUGUAAUUUGAGUAUGAUAAGUAAAUAAAUAAUUGCAGUAGGUCAGUAAAUCUUUUUCUAGUCAAGUCUAUUGUUAAUUAGAAUCAUAAUAAUUAGGUAUUAAUGUUUUUAUAGUAAUUUUCCUUAUAUUUUUUGUUACCAUGAACAGUAUAUAUACCUUCCUUACAGUGAAUACAUUGAUGAGUUCAUCGGUCAUAUACUGGAUCAGACUGUGGUAGUAAUGCUACUAUUGACAUGCUUUGAGUUUGAGUAAUUAUUAUCAGUGUUAUUAUGUAACGCAUGCUUAUGUGAGUGGUUGCGGUUGCUGCUGUCAAUGUAAAUGUAUUCUUUUAUAUAUCUAAGACUAAGACUAUAAUUUUAAAAAUGUAAAUGUAUGCUUAUGUGAGUGGUUAAUUUGUGUGGGAUGAUGCAUUUGCCUUAAUUUUAAUCUGUAGCUUAUUGUCUGCUUCAUAACAACUUACUAAAAAAUUGUAUCACAUGCAUUACCGUAUUAUCAAGCUUAAUUUCCUCUUCAUUUGCAUAAUUGUGCUUAUUAUAUUGGGAUUAUUCUACAAUAGUUAUUUAUUUUAUUUAAGAAGUGAACUGAAAAUGCAUGUGAAAUCGUUUUUUUACAAAAUUAGAUGCACGUUUUGGAUUGUGGUUAAUUAUAAUUUUCAAACAAUCGCUUAUUUUAAAAAAAAAAUGUACUCAAUUAUAUUUGAGUUGUCAAAUUAUUUUAAUUAAACAUAUAUAACCAAUUUGGGUUGUCUUUUUUAACUCAAUACACUAACAGUCAUCAAACAAUUGAUUAUCAAACAUAAUAUGAGAAUAAAAUCCAUCACCAUUGCAGACUUAUUGUAACACAAAGAAAGUCUAUAAUUGGGCUUUGGAUUGGGCAAUAAAAACCCACUAAGCGAUAGCAUUCUUCUAUUCCUAGGGAAAGUGAAAAAAGCGGGAGUUGUAAGUGUUAAAUGGAAAUGGAUACAUGCCGAACUUACAAUUAAAUAAAAGAGAAAUUUUUAUAUAAAAGAAAGCGUCGGUGACUCUAAAGUUAGUCGGUGACUCUAAAGUUACAAUCAAAUGAAUGCGAAAUUUCAUAAAAAAGAAAAAAAAAAGUGUAGGUGAUUCUAAAGUUGAAAACUGCACAUGUUUGUGAUUCAAUUAGCUUUUUUGCUCUUAAAAUUACUUUAAAUUGCUCAAGAAAUGGUCAUGGGAAGGCUUACUCAUUAUAAUCCAUAAAUUGAUUAAACUGAUUAAGGAAGCAUGAACCAGCAAUUAGAUCAAAGUGUUGAAUAGUUCUUGCGUGAAAUAAAGAGAAAGAUUGCUAGAAAUUACAUUUUAUUUAUUUUUUGGUGUCACGGGUAGAUGAAAGCCACAAACAAUGUUAAGUCCCUUCACUGUAAAAGCAUUUUCCUGCACCUUUUUCUUCGGCUUUAUGAUAUUCAAUGCCCAUAGUCCCUAGUCCCUACCCCUGUAUCUUUAUUAAUUAUUGGUUAAGAAGCUUGCGGCCUUAAAUGAUCAGAUAUAUUUAUUUUUUUGUCUGUGUUAUAAGAAAUCUUAUUUUCCAUUAUCACAGUUUCGUAUUAAGUAUCACAAUGGUUUAUUGUCCGACUUAAAACAUGAUUAUUAAUAUAGAUUUAAGAAUAAAGAUUAGAGUUAAGGCAACCUAUAUAAGAAAUAAAAUAAAGAAAUCAUUUAAAGAAAUUGUAACCGCUGCUCAUCAAUAAAAACCCAUUUCGGCUGGAAGAAUUUCCGUAGAAAUACAGAUGGUAUUUUAUUUGAAGUAGAAAUGUAAACUUUUUUUUUUAAUGAAAAUUGGAAAAGUAAACUUAAUUAAGGAAACUAAUAAAUAAGGAAACACAAAUCCUCAAAUAAAUAAAUAAGGAAACACAAAGGACCAUAUAUACAUAGGCCGGCCCGGGCCCUUUGACAUGACAACUGACGACCCUCCAAUAAUUUCAAUUUUUAGUAUCGUUCCCAAAACACCCUUCCAAACUUUUCCUGCAUUAAAAGUCAUGAAGAUAAUUUAUUAAUUUAAUCAAACAGUAAAGGUAAUUAUGUCAUUGUAUAUUUGUGGGUCAAGUCCAUCUUGAUCAUCUCCCAUCCAAACGUACAACAAACAUUUCACUAUUUCAGUACCUUAAUCUCACAGUCAAGUGCUCAACUCUCUCUGUAUUAAACACACCGACCCUUGAAUCUCGAUGGCAAAAGUAGUAGUGGGUAUGGCUGCUAAAGGAGAACAGAAAAAAGAAAUGAGUUUUACAGAAAAAGAUGAAAAAGAAGAAGAGAAAUGGAUCAUGCAUUAUUCAUCAAAGCAUCAAAUACUGUUGGUGGGUGAAGGAGAUUUCUCGUUUUCUUUUGCUUUAUUGCAGAAAUUUGGCUCUGCUUCUAACAUCUGCGCUUCUUCUCUUGAUUCCUAUGGUAAUUCAUUCAUUUCUCUAAUCUCUUUCUCUUCUCCUACAUGUUUUUUUUUUCAAGAUUUUUUUAUAUCAUAUGAUAUAGCAUAAAUUACCCUGUUUAUAAAUCUUUAUCCUCAGUUUGAUGUGUUAAGUUACCACUUAAUUUGAUGUGUAACUGUAAAGAAAUUAUCAAUUUUACAGAAAAAUGGUAAAAUGACUAGGAAAACGUAUAAUUAACGUCUCUGUUUUUUUUUUUAAUUGGAUUUCAUAUGAUGUGAGGCCAAAAUCACCCUGUUUAUAAAUCUUUGUCUUCAAUUUGAAGUGUUUUGACCUCAAAACUGGAACUAUUAAAUAAGAGUCAACAUUAGCACAAAAGUUAAAUGUAACUGUCCGGUCCCUUCUUUAUAAGGUGGAUAACUGAAUAUGAUAUGAAUUAAGAGGCGAAGUUAGGAAUUUUUUUUAAGCUGGGUUACAUCUUUUUUUUUUCAAGUUAAAGAUAAAAUAAAGAACCUUACGGUGAAGCUAUUAAAUUAAACCAUAAAAUUAAAUUAAUAUUGUUUGUGUUAAAAAUUUUUUUGUGAAUUAAGUUUGUUUAACAAUAAAAAUUGUCAACUUUAAAGCGGUGACUACAGUACGCUACGGCUACCAUACUUCACAACCUGCCACAGUUACAUGGUUCUUGUUUAUUGACUUUUAAUUAUCAGAUGAUGCUUAGUCUAUGAAUUACGGUACCCUUAGACAUCAUAGACAGACCCCCACUUUACAUAAUUGAAGGCUAAAUGAGUGAUAAAUAUCUUGUCAUCACUGGUUUACUUGAGACCGAAAAUAGAUUUCUAAAAUAAGAUUGAGUGGGAAAGAAGUUGGAACAAAUGACAGUAGCCAUAUAUAUAUAUAUAUAUUUUUAAAAAGAGUGAUAAACAUGUAAAUAAUACUGCGGUCGUUUUGUAUAAUAUAACAGUGAUAGCUAGCUUCAUAAAUACUGCAUGGUAAUUUUAUGAACAACGUAAUAAAGAAACUAGAAAUUUUGCCAAAUUUUGGCCGCGCUAUAGCCUAGCUUCGCCCUUGCAUGAAUUCAAUUCGAUAGUUUGAUGCAACUGAAAAAAUAACUUAACCUUAAAGAAAUUAUCAAUCUUACAGAAAAAUUGUAAAAUGACCCGGAAAAUUAUCAUCAUCACCAUCAUCAUCAUCAUCAUCAUCAUUAUUAUUAUUAUUAUUAUUACUAUUUGGUUGACGUAUCUUGCUUAUUUGGAAGUUAACAUAAAUUAUAUAUUUGGAUGGACUAGAAACUGUGGUUAAGAAAUUCAAGGAGGCACGGUCAAAUUUGGACACCCUAAAGAAGCUGGGAGCAUCCAUUAUCCAUGGAGUUGAUGCAACUGAAAUGAAGGAACAUUCUGAAUUGAGCAAGCGGAAGUUUGAUAGAAUAAUCUUCAACUUCCCCCAUGCUGGCUUUCAUGGAAAGGAAGAAGACGACGAAGUUAUUCGGUGAGCUGCUUUAACCUAGUGAGUCCAAUGGACACGUGUCAGUACAGCGAGUGAAAAAUGGUUAUAUUCCGAGGGAAAUUGAUAUUUAAAGUGAUCCAUAUUUCUUAAUAAUUCAACAUGCAUGUAGUAAUCAAGAGCUUGCUGUGAUAUUUCCGCUUCGCCAAUUCUUAAAAAUUUGGCUCCUACAUCUGUUCCAUGAUCUUUCUUCUGGUAAUCGCAGAAUGCAUAUGAGCCUUGUGGAAGGUUUCUUCAGAAAUGCAAGUGGUAUGCUAAGGCCUCAUGGUGAAGUGCAUGUAAGCCACAAGACAACAGCUCCAUUUUGCAAAUGGCAUAUCGAGGAACUCGCUAGGAAACACUCUUUGUUAAGACUCGACUGUGUCCAGUUUAGAAAAGAAGACUACCCAGGUUACAGUAACAAGAAAGGAGCUGGUUCACUGUGCGAUGACUAUUUCCCCUUGGGAAAGUGCAGUACCUUCAAAUUUGGUUUAUAUCGUGCUCGCAAGAGGUCUAAAGUAAUGAGUGAUGGUGGAUUUAUUGUCAAAAGAACUAAGGCUGUUGAAGAGAUUCCGAUCCGAGUGCAGAAGCGUGAAACCGAUCCAUUUGACUGGAGAUGUACUAAUGCAAAGUCAGCCACUGAUAUGAAUGAAUUUCGAGCCUGUGUGAAGUUUGAUGGUAGCGGUGCCGGUUACCCUGUUCGUGAAUAUCCUAGGUUUGACAGUCUCGUACAUCCUCAAACAAGCUUCACCAGAAAUGCGAUUGACCAUCCAGGAUAUAAGAGACUAGCUUUGAUGGGUAAUUCUAGGUUCCAUAAUGGCUGCUUUAAUAGUUCCCACACGACGCUUGGAAGAGCUGUUGACGAUGUGGGCUAUCUUGUUCCCGAAUCAUUAAUUCCAUAUGAAAGAUAUUACGCGGAAGUAGCAGGAUUCCAAAGAGAAAGUGGUAGGAGCUACGAUAAAACAGUGCCUCGAGGAAGAACCUUGUAUCCUGUGGAUGGACGUUGCUAUCAGGAAACUAUGAAACCAGCGCAGCCGUCAUGGAUGAGAUUGGGAUUUAUUUACCAGCUUUAAAGGAGAAGUGGUGCUAUUAUGCUUUUAUGGAAGACUGAACGACCUUUUGUCUUUAGUCGUGAAUUCUAGCUAGUUAAGCAUAUAUAGGUAUCAUAGUGCAAGUAGAAAGCUUUGAUUUGCUUUCACUUUGGUUUGUUUUAAGAACUAAGACUUUCAGUAAUCUGUUGGUGUGUUGUGUGGUGUUGUCAAUCUCCUAUUUGCAAAGCACUCGAUCUGUUUCCUGUUUAAAGAACUAUAAUUAGCUUUAAUAGCAUCGAUGAACUCAUCAACGUACGUAUUCACAGCAAGGAAGAUACUCCUCCAUCUAUUUGUGGUAAUUACUAUGAAGACGGAGUAUAAUCAGUCAACAAUGCUACAAGUUUAUAUGCUUUCAGUAAUUAUUAUCAGCGUUAUUAUGUAAUAUAUGCUUACGUAAGUGGUUGCUGCUGUGAGUUAGCGUAAUCUUUUAUAGAAUCUAUUAUAGUUUUUAUCUAAGAUUUUAAUUUUAGAAUUGUUAUAGGACUGUUGUCAUCAUAUUGUAUAAUCAGUGUUUAAUUGAAAAAAAAAAAAAAAAAAACUGUGCGCCAAUUUGAUCACCACUGCUAUACGGUUAAUUUGUAUGUAGGAUGAUGCAAUUUUUGCCUUAAUGGGCUUUCAAAUUUUUUAAUCAAACAUAUAUAGUUGAUUAGAGUUGUCCUUAAUUUUAGAUUCAACACACUAGCAACCAUCAAGCAAUUGAUUCUCACAUAUAAUUUAGAAAUAGAACCCAUCGCAAUCUGUCAAUCGGUCAAUUUCAUACAUUCACCAAGUCUUGUAAAUAAAUCAAAAUGCAUAAAACUAUGUGAUUUUGAAGGGUUCACUUCAUCACCCCUUCUUAUAAAACCUCAUUUCAAAUAAAAUUACAUUGAAAUAAGAAUUAAAUAUAUUUGAGAAUUUUUUCAGUAAAUUACUUGCAUUAGUAAUUAAUCCUUUUUUUUUUGUUUUCUACCCCUCACUUCCAUCUAAUCAAAAUUAAUUAUAAAAAAUUAGAAUAAACUAUUUUUCUUAUUUCAAAUUAUAACUGACUUUCAAAAGUUCAUUAGUCAAAAAACUUUUCAAUGUGCUGUGUGGGACAACAAGAUUACAAAAGAAAAAAAAAGAAUUAAAAUAAAAAUAAAUGAAAAAAAAAAAAGAUUUUAUAAAGUGAUUAGAGGGUCGCCAAUACUCCCAACUCGUGGAAAAAGUUUAUUCAGUUGUGUGUGGGCGUAAAUGUAAAUGGGCUUGCAAAUAAAAAGUCUUAUGAGUGGGCUUUGGGUGUAGGCAAUUAAAACUUGCUAAGCCACGGUAUUUUUCUUCACUUCCAUUCUUAGAUGUUGGAAAACAGUUGCCAUCGUUUCUCACUAGAAUUGGUCUAGUUACUUUCUCUUCUGUACUCUCUUGUUAAUUUUCAAUAAUGAUUUGUCCUGUCAUGAAUUUUUUUCUUGUCGCAUACUGAAGAUAAGUUUUUUUUUUUUUUUGCUAAGUUUUGUGCACCUAUCAUCACUGAUAGUUUUCUUUGAUACUUGGCUUUUUUUCUUUUUCUUUUUUCAUUUGAAUGUCUCCUGACGAAAUGUUGCUGAGAAUUUGUAUAAUUACUGAAUUAACCUACUUUAUAUAUGCUGAAUACAUAAAAUUAAAAAGACUCAACAAUAGAGUUCUGAAGGAAUCAUUUAUAUUUUAUGCAUCGCAUAUUUCUUUAUCUUUUGUCGUUUCUCGAUUGCAUGCUUGCCAUUUCGUAGUAGAAUAUAAAUGACUUUAAUAAAUUGGAAAAAAGCAAAAAAAAAAAAAAGCUGAUGAAGAAAAAAGAAAGAAAAUAAACAAGAACGUGUUCCAAAAACGAUGUAAAAAGAUGUAUUCGGGGAUUAAUAUUUGGGCGCCACAAUUGCAAGAAAGACAGGUCCUAAUCAACGUGACUUGAACAGUUUUAUUUUAUAUUUUUACUUUUUUAUUUUUGAUGCUUUAAAGCGGUGGGGACUGGGGAACAUAUUCUUCGCGGUGCGGAUGGUGACGCGAAGAAUAUAAAAUUUUCUAAAGAGAAUAUUUUUAUUUUUUUAAAAGUGAGAAUACUACUAAAAUAAAAAAUAUAAAUUUUAAUUUAUUAAAAUUUAUUUAUUUUUGUUUGUUAAUAUAUUAGAAUUUGUAUUUAUGUAUGUAUGUAUGUAUGUAUGUGUGUGUAUUCCUUAAGCUAAUUCUUCGUAAAGUUUGCUAGGCAUCUAAUCAUAAAAAAAAAAAAAAAUCUGAUAUUUAAACACGUCUUAGUUAUUUAUUAGUGCCACGUUAGUUUGAAUUCUAAGGAUCGAGUUUUGUAGCAUAUAAUCUCCAUUCCACCGUCUUUUUUUAUUUUAUUUUAUAUUAAUCACGAGGUAUCCAUUCCACUGUCUUUGAUAAUUCACUUUCUUAACCAUUUUAGAAAUGUGACCCUUGCUCUUGCUCAAUUAUUACUACGUCUAAAUAUGGCCACAAGAUUAGAGUUUGCACAUUUGUUCUUUUUCCAUAAACACACGGUUUCCUCACUUCCAAAUGGACUUCUCUUAAGUUGCAUUAUUAUUAUUUGCACUCUUCUCAAUAUAUAAAACUCAUGAAAUUUUUUAAUGAAGUUUUUCUAAUCAUCACAGUAUUAAUCUUUUUAACUCUCAUUAUUUGUAAUUUCUUUCCCACACAAGAUAUCCUGCAAUUGCAAAUAAUGAGAGGUACUGCCGAGUUUUUUUUAAAAAAAGUCCACAGUUAAAAUAAAAGACAUGAUCCAUUAUGAAAAAUAAAGUAUUCGAUCUAAAACUCACAACAGAAAAAUAACAACAAUGCUAGCUUGCUCAGGGAAACUUGCCUGAAAUUGCCGGACCGGCCAAUCUUCUAAUUUCUAAACCACCGUUUUGACUGGGUGGAAUGUUGAAUAAUAGGCACUGCAACCAGCGUAAUGCACACAAUUUUUUGAAACUAAUCAAAUUUGAUCAAUGACUUAAUUCCAAUGAAAUAAAAUGUAACUGUUGAGAACUUGAAUGAUAUCUUUUGAAAUUCUUGUCUAGCUUUUUAGAUAGAAUCAUCAGGGAAUCAAGUGAAACAAAUCCUCUUGUAGGGCUAGAUUAUUCUUUCAAGUUUCAUCAUGGCUGCUAGCUCUAAGAAUCCACUUUAUUGAAGACGUUGGAAAAGAGGUUCACUGCCGAUAGCUUCCUUAGUAAAACUAAAUCUCUUUCAAACUAUCAGACAUACUACUAGUUCUACAUCAAUGGAGUAAACGAGAAAAAUCUGAGAUAUGGCGGAGACUGUGGUGAAUUUUGUCAUUGAAAAGCUGGGUCCUUUGCUUGCUCAAGAAAUGGUGUUUUUGAGCGGUGUAAGGGAAGAAAUUCGAGACAUCAAGCUUGAAUUGGAGCAUGAGAUCUUUUCUAAAAGAUGCGGAUGCAAGAGCCGCACUAGAAGAUUUUGAAGAAAGAGAGAGUCAAUUGGUAUCAAAACUUGGGUGAAACAAGUGAGGAAAGAAGCCUAAUGUUGAUGCAGAAUCUGGUCGAAAUCGUUAGCAUGGGCAGGUCACCAUGUCAACACUUGAAUUUGUUUUGAUGGGAGACGGUACUGUUUGCACUUCCUUCCUCCAAACAGAUCCUUACGCCCACAUUCACUUCCCUCAGGAUUCUCCAACAUUUCUGGAUUCUCCGACGUUCACAGAAACAAUUAAGGGGUGCUGGAUGUUUUUCUGACAUAAACCCUCCGAUACGUGGGUACUCAGGUCUCUCUGGGAAAAACUUGUGCCACAACUUCCAUGGCUUAAUUAAAACUGAAGCCAGAACAAAUAUUUUAAAUUUUUAAUGAUUCUCAAAAAGAGAUAAAUUCUAAAAAACAGAUUCUAGAGUUAGAGAGGCAGAAUUUUGUUUCAGAGAGGGCAAAACAACUUACCUCUUUGGGAUUUUACAGGCCUUUUAUAACCCUGUUGCACUAUCGUGGGUACACAAUCAUUGACCAGUCCCUUGCAUCACCGUUCAUGGGUUGGUUAAGUAAUUGUUAAGGGAUAAUGGAUGAAUGUGCGAGGUAGUUGAUGAAUUGAUGGUGCAACCGUUAAUGGAGUGGUAUUAUAAUUGUUGAUAUCGAAAUCUGGUUGAGUUGAUGAUGGCAACUAGAUUACUUCGUCAACACUUGAAUUUGUUUUGAUGGCGAACUAUCGCUUGCUACUCCAGUAGAGUUUGAAUUGCUAUGAUGCUUUUUGCUUUCUUUUAUUUGCAAUAACAGAAAACUGUCAGGGGGCGCCCGAUCUUUCUCGGCGAAAAUCCUCCAACGCUCAAGUUAGCAAUAAAGUUUUCUUGCAAGAAAAAUAAUAAUGUCACACACUUGUGAUCUUAAGUACUUUCUUUUCAAACUUCUUAUUCCCUAGAAAAAAAAAAUCUCCCUUUCAGGAUCUUUCCCAAUUCUUAUAGACAACUGCAAGCAUCUCUUGUUCUUCAAUGCAUGACUGUUACCAAAUUGAAUGUGCCACUUGAAUUAAGAGUUAAUGUAUCCGUUUCUGUAUAGUUAUUGAGCUAUCGUUAUAAUGUCUGAUGUUGCUUUAAACAUUAUAGCAGGACAUGCUUAGACGUUACGGACGAACUACCAGGUUAAGUUCUACAAUCUGAAAAUUAAACCAAGACCAUAAAAUCGAACGACAUGAUUAUGGUCUCCUCGUAGACUGCUGGUUGUCCUUGCAUAUGUAACCAGAUAACUUUCUCCUCGAUGUUUCACAUCACCCUUACGACUUUUAUAUUAAGUGGCUAUAUUUGUAUACCCCAAACAAUAACUAUUAGUGAAUUGACUUUGUGCUCAGAUUCUGGGGGGGAGGGGGGGGGGGGGGGGGGGGGGAGGGGGAGGAGACUCGCUGGUUGGUCUUUGAUCAGCUCUUGAGAUUACCUGAUUUCAUAGUACAAGUAGAAAGCGUUGAUUAGCUUCCACUUUUGUUUCUUUUAAGAAUUAAGAAUUUUUUUAUUGAGAGGUAGUGGGACCAAUGUGUUGUUUUUGAGAAUGGCAAAAGUAAGUAUAGGUGGCUCUAAAGUUGGGACUUACAGAUGUUUGUGUUUGAAUUAGUCCCUUUUUUUUUUUUUUUUGAAAUUGAAGCAAUGGUCUUGGAGGCUCACUCAUUGUAAUUGAUAUGUUAAACUGAUUAAGGAAGCGUGGAGCAGAAAGUAGACCAAAGUGUUGAAUAGUUCUUUAAAAGAGAAAUAUUGCUAGAAAUUUCAAUUUUAUUUAUUUAUUUAUUAUGUCAUGGUUUUAUUUAUUCAUAAAAUUGAAAGCCACGAUGUUGAGUCUCUUUACAGUAAAAGCCAUUUUCACAUUUAGACUUCUUUUCCUUUAGUUUUAUGAGAUUCAAUGCCCCCUUCACAGUAAAAGAAACUUGUGGCCCUAAAUGAUCGUUAGAAUUUGAGAAUAUAUAUAUAUAUAUAUAUAUAUAUAUAUUUCAUGUUACUGAGAUUUUUUUUUUAAUUUCCAUUCUAAAUUAACCAUUAAAAAGAAAUUAAUUUAAGAAAAACCCAUUAAAAAGAAAUUGUAACCGUUGCUCCAUUGUAAAAAUUACGUUCAACAUUUCAAGAAAACAAUCUUAGUUGGAAGAAAUUCCGGAAAAUAUAGAUGGGUUUUUGAAUUUGAAAUUUAAACUCAAUUAAGGAAACUAGUAAAUAAAAGGAAACACAAAACCAUAUUUGGCCGUGGACCUGACAACAUAUCCCUCCGAUAAUAUCAAUCUUUUUACCAUUCUUCCUAAAACACCCUUCCAAACUUCUCAAACUACAGAAGACAGAUCACAGACGGUAAUUACAUCAAGGCUAAUUAUGUCAUUUUAAAUUCCUGGCUCAAAUCUGGUGGAGUAUUGUCCUCAUCAUGAUCGUUUGCCAUGCAAACGUAUAACAAACUCUUCGGCAAUCUCACUACGACUAUGGCAAUACUGGCUGAAGCUGCUGAAAAAGAAGAGGAAAAAUAAAUGGGUUUGACUGGGAAAAAAAGAAGAAGAAGAAGAAGAGAAAUGGAUAAUGUACUAUUCAUCAAAACAUAAAAUACUGUUAGCGGGCGAAGGAGAUUUCUCUUUUUCUCUUGCUUUAUUUCAGAAAUUUAGCUCUGCUUCUCACAUCUGCGCUUCUUCUCUUGAUUCUUAUGGUACGGUAAUAUAAUCAAUUUUACGGAAAAAGAAAAAUAGAAAAUUGUAAAAUUAGGAAAAUUAUUAAAGUAUUAUUAUCUGUUGUGACGUCUGGUUUAUUUGGAAGUUAAUAUAAACCAUCUUUGGAUGGAUUAGAAACUGUCACUCAGAAAUUCAAGAAGGCAGAGUCAAACUUGGACACUCUAAAUUAAGAAGCUGGGAGCAUCCCUUAUCCAUGGAGUUGAUGCAACUGAAAUGAGGCGUCAUCCUGAAUUGAGAGAGCGGAUCGUUGAUAGAAUUAUCUUCAAAUUCCCCCAUGCUGGCUUUUCUGGGAAGGAAGACAACAAUCAACUUAUUCGAUGAGCUGCUUUAAAAAACAGUUCCUUGUAGAAAUUUUGUGUUUCUUCUGUAUUGCUUACUAAUCUGAAACUUUCAUUUCUUUUGCAAUGAUCCAGCUAUUCACUGUCAUCGUUUGAUGUUAAUACGGGGAUUAGCAACUCAUGCUUUUGAAGAUUUCAUGGAUAGGAUUGAAACUUAAUUGAAAAUCAUAGUUUCCAAAGGGGAAUUGCUAAAUUGCUGAUGAAGAAAUUAUAGUCUGGUUUAGAUUUAGAUACAAGUUGAAAGCGAAAACCCAGCUUUGAUUUUAAGGGAUCUGGGAUUUGGAUGACUCUUGCAUAUAUAGGAUAUUUUUGUAAUGUUUGCUUUCAAUGGUUGAUUACUUGUUAGUGAGGAAUUUCAGAGUGACAAAAAAUGCAGAGUCAUGUGGAAACGUGGGUGAUACACUACAGUGACAUGAAAAUGGUUAAAAAAAAAGAGUGAACUUGCUUAAUAAAGUGAUCCGUUUUGCUUAAAAAUUCAAAACAUUGUAGUCUAGAGUUCCCUAUGAUAUUUUAAAAAUCACUAAUUCUGAAAAUGCUGGCUCGUAUACCUGUUCGAUGAUCUUUCUUCUGGUAAUCGCAGAAUGCAUAUGAGUCUUGUGGAAGGUUUCUUGAAAUGCAAGUGGCAUGCUGAGGCGUAGUUGUGAAGUUCAUGUGACCCACAAAACAACUGCUCCAUUUCGCGACUGGAAUAUCGAGGAACUUGCUCCCAAACACUGUUUGUCAUCAAUGUACCCUGUCAACCUUAAAAAAGAAGACUACCCUGGUUACAACAACAAGAGAGGAGCUGGUUUGAAAUGUGAUGAGCCCUUCCCCUUGGGAGAGUGCAGUACCUUCAUAUUUGGAUUCUAUCGUGCUCGCAGGAGAGUAAUGAGUUAUGGUGGAUUCGCUAACAAAAGACAUCAGCCGCUUCAAGAGAUUCCAAUCCAAGUGCAGAAGGAUGGAACUCCAUUUGACUCGAGAUAUGCUAAUGCAAAGUCAGCCACUGGUAUGAAUGAAUUUCCAGCCUGUUCGAAGUUUGAUGGCAGCGGCAUGGGUUACUCUGUUCGUGAAUAUCCUAGGUUUGACAGUUUCAUACAUCCUCAAACAAGUUUCACUAGAAAUAUGACUGACCAUCCAGCAUAUAAGAGACUAGCUUUGAUGAGUAAUAUACAAAGAGAAAAUGCUAGGUCCCAUAAUGGCCGCUUCAAUAGUUCCAUAAUUCUGUGUGAAAGGUAUAUCGCAGAAGUACCAGGAUUCCAAACAGAAAAUGCGAGGAGUUUGUAUCCUAUGGAUGGAAGUAAUUUAAAUGAAAGUUGCACCAAUUUGUUUGUAUAGCAUACUGUAUGGCUAGAGAGUUUCAUGGUCUUGGUCUUCGCAGUUUUCUUAUUUGUAUGGUUUGGUUUUCUUUAUUUUUUGCCGACAAAUAAACAAAUCAACUUGCAAUAAAAUAAAUAUUAAAAUACACGGAAAAAGCUCAAAUGCCGACAAAUUCCAGGUUGUUAAGUUCAAAAUUAAUUCUAGGGAGCCCUAUGUUACAAUUAAUGUAACAUACACACUCAACAACAACCACACAAAUGAUGGGCUCCCAUUAUUUGUGUGGUUGUUGUUGAGUGUGUAUGUUACAUUAAUUGUAACAUAGCAUUUGCCUUAAUUCUAUAGUAAGGUGGCGUUUGUUUUUUAACUUAAUGACUUAAAGUGACUUAACUUAAUUAAUUAAGUUAAUUAGAGGUGUUUGUUUUUAUAACUUAAUGAGACUUUUUAGAUAAUUUUGACUUAAUAAAAUAAGCUAAUUUUUUUAACUUUUUACUUAAUGGAGAAAUCUGAAUUAAGACAAUUACUUGCUAAUGUCAAAAAUAUCCAUGUUUUAUAAUUUAUUUUUCAUGUCUAUCCUAAAACUCACCUAUAGAUAUUUACCCCACAUAAAAAUAUCUAUGUUUUUUCUUUCUUAUAUUAUAUAUGAUAAAAUUUGAAAUUUAUGGUAUUUUUAUAUUAAAAUUCUAAAAUAAUUAUGUAUUCAUUUGAAUAUAGUUUUACUUAUAAAUGUUAAAAUAUUGUGGUAUUUAAUAUAUUAUUUAUUUGACAUUCAAAUUUAAUAAGGAUACAAAUGUAAAAGUACAUAUUUUCAGCUUUUUAAGUUGAAAAAAAAACAACUUAAUACUUAUUUUUCGAGAUUCAGACGAAAAAACAAACAUAUUAUUCAGAUUCAGACAUUCAGACCUAUUCAGAAUUCAGACUAAUUCAAGUCUAUUCAGAUUUCAGACAAAAAAACAAACGCCACCUAAGUAUGAAGAAUAAAAUAAAAGCAAUCAACUUGCAAAUUGAAAAUUCUGCAUUCCUAAACCAAUGUCCAAACAGGGGUAAACAUGUCGGCAAACAUAAACAAUGAUCAAACACUGUUUGCAAAAGCAUCAAUCUGCUUUGUAAAUUAGACCUGCUGGUGUGAUAUGGCGGAGGCUGCGGUGAACUUUGCUCUAGAGACCUUGGGUCCUUUGCUUGUCGAAGAAAUCAAAUUGUGGGGAGGUGUUAGAAAAGAAGUUCAAAGCAUCAAAAGCGAACUGGAGAGUCUCAGAUCUUUCCUCAAAGACGCAGAUGCAAGGGCAGCAGUCGAAGAAUUAGAAGGAGGCGGUGAGGAAAGUGUCAGAACUUGGGUGAAACAACUGAGGGAUGAAGCUUAUCGCAUUGAAGAUGUGAUCGACGAGUACACACUCAUGGUGGCAAAACUCCCUCAUGGGAGUGGCCUCGUUGGUGUUCUCCAUAGAAUCAGUCGUUCCAUAAAGAAGCUGAAGCUGCGGCGUGGAGUUGCUACUGAGAUUCAAGAUAUCAAAUCAGCGCUUGCUGAUAUAAAGCGAAGGGGAGAAAGCUAUCGAUUCAGAUCUAUUGAUGAACCAUCGAGCAGUGGAACCAGAAAUGUUAUCCCACAUGACUCUCGAGUUCGUUCCUUUUUCGUUGAAGAUGAUGAAGUUGUGGGCAUCGAAUCCAUUAAAGAUAAAUUGAUUGAUUUGAUGGUGAACGGAAGAUCCGAACGUUCAGUGGUUGCUGUGGUGGGUGAAGGAGGACUAGGCAAGACCACUCUUGCCGGAAAACUUUUUAACAAUGAUGGUUUAAAAACUCACUUCAGUAGCCGGGCUUGGGUCACCGUUGGGAAAGAAUACAACAAAAAUGAUUUGUUGAGGACGGUUAUAAAGGAGUUUCAUAGUUUCUCAGGGCAGCCUACUCCAGUGGAGAUACACAAAAUGGAAGAGAUGGAGCUGAUCACCACGCUGAGGGGCCACUUGAAGGACAAGAAUUACGUGGUUGUGUUCGACGAUGUUUGGAAGAUUGAUUUUUGGGGAGACGUGGAGCAUGCUUUACUUGAUAACAAGAAAAGCAGCAGGAUAAUGGUCACAACACGGCACAUGAAUGUCGCUAAGGCUUGCAAAUCAUCUUCCUCUGUUCACGUCCAUGAGCUUGAAACUUUGCAUCCGAAUGAAGCGUGGAAACUUUUUUGUAGAAAGGCGUUCGGACCAAGCUCUGGAGGCUCUUGUCCUUCAGAGUUGAGGGAGUUGUCCCAGGACAUCCUUGCAAAAUGUGGAGGUUUGCCUCUUGCUAUCGCGGCCAUAGGUGGACUUCUUUCAACCAAGAACAGGGUUGUAUCUGAAUGGAAGAAAUUAUUUGAUCGGUUGGGCUCAAUCUUAGGAAGUGAACCCCAUCUAAAAGACUGCAACAGAGUUUUAUCUGAAGGGUAUCAUGAUCUUCCUCACCAUCUCAAAUCAUGUCUUCUCUACUUUGGCUUAUUUCCAGAGAGCUGCAAAAUCAACUGUGCUAGACUCAUCCGUUUGUGGAUAGCUGAGGGCUUUGUCCAGUACAGCAAACGCCCCACAUCUGAACAGGUUGCAGAAGAAUACUUGAAUGAGCUCGUUGACAGAAGC